CUUCAGAACAGGGGCUUGCACUACCGUCUCUAAGUCACUGCCGUCAGUUCUUUUGUUGCUGUCUGUUGCUGUCCCUAUACUCCUGCCGAUGGAUGACUUUCUUGUAAAGAGACAAGAUAUGUGGAAACGUUCACUAAGAUUUAUCCUCAGGAUGACUUCGGGAGUAGUCUACUCAAUAGUGAUGCAUAUUUUGAUCAUCACAGCAUUCACUUUGCUAACUUUUCAGAUUUUCUAUACAAGGGGCGGCUUUGAUGUCGUCCUGUUUUUCCAUGUCAUAGGCCCCUCUGUCUUAUACCUUGUGUUUGGUUUAUUGGAAAUUGCCGUGAGGGCGUCUUUUAAAGACCAGAUGUGUGUCACAUUCUUCGGGCAUAUCAGCCAUAUGGUGGGAUCUAUGUUUCUCCUCACGUAUAGAGUUCCAUCAAAUCAUAUUGAGGCUUUUGCCUUUUGUUUCCUAGGAAUACCAUUCUUUUUUUGGACUUUUUUCGUUAUGUGUUCAACUUUUAUUCCAGAAUUUUUGGGAGAUGAUUCCUUAAUCCAACCAUUGGUUUAGGAUUUAUUAUCUACUAGUAUUAUCUCCACGGGCAUGUUCAAAAUGAGAUCAAAAUAAGUAUAAAAUAUUGAUUUUUUUUCCAAGACAGGCCAAUAUUAUUAGAUACUAUGAAAAUUCAGGGAAAACAUCUCUCUUGGACUAAUACAACUAAAAUAUUUACAUUACUUUUUUUUUUGUAGAUAAUUGAAGUUUCCUAUUUCCUAUAGUGUUUAUUUUUGCUAAAUUGUAAAUGUCAUUACUAGUAAUGAAGGUUCGGUUACAAAAUGAAUCUGAAACCACGGUCUACUGAGACAGCCAUUUGAUUCUAAGGAGCCGCAAAAAGUUUUUAAAAACCCUUAAGAACCUAGAUUAUUAAGUCCAAGCUUCUAUCAAUAGAAAGCUUGAAGUUAAUAUGACACAAUAGAACAAGAGACAACAGAAUGAGACUCUCUGUGCGAAGCGCUUCUUGCUAUAACUGGAGCAAUCCUGAAGAAGCAAGAGAAAGCUUGAAGGAGAGUUCAGUCGAGCAAUCAUCGAAGUGGCUCCAAUCAGCUUCAACGGAGGUGUCUGGCUCCCACCCCGGAACACUACUGGAGGAGGACGUCAACCAAACAAACCCAAGCUUUCUCGACAGUAGAUAAAAGUACUAACCCAAAUCGAUGCUGCUGACAAUGGAAACUCGGGUUACUGGUCAAGCGUAGGCGGUACAAAUUGGCUCCCGAACCGGCCACGCGACACAUGAGAUGCGGCAAAGACUCAGAGGGCACACUAAACCAACUGUCGGAGCUAGGGAACAAGGGAAAUGGAGCGCAGGAGGAGUCAUGACUCCUCGAAAACAAGUGACUCAAAUCGGCAAGAGAGAGCUCUGCCUUAAUGCGGGAGAUGCCUUCACAGCGGGAUGUCCUCAAAACCCAAGUAAAACGGCGUCAGGAGCAAGAAGGAGAAGCCAAUCGAUUACCAACGAGCGCCACGGUUGUAGUCUUUUGAACUAAGAAAAUAGGUUCUUGGUGGAGCGCCUCACAUCCACCUUUCACUCGAUAAAGAGAGGAGAACAUCUACAACAACCUUGGAACUACACAGAAGAGGAGACUGACUGGAGUGAGACACGAUGAGGCACAAAUGCAGAAUUUCAUACUGACCUAAAAUUAACUUCUCCCUAGGUCAGUGCAAAGCCCUUCAGUGAUAUUCAACCCAGUGCUCUCAAAGGAAAUCUCCUUAUAUUCGGUGUCCU